UAAAACUGAGGAAAACGUCAAGAAAUAAAUCUAUAAAUCUUACAUUGAUUUUCUUUUGAUCGAAGACGGCUUUAAUAACUAGUAUAGUAAGAUUUAUCUGUGGAUAGUGUAUUAAAUUUAUAAACUUUUUUCCAAAUGUAAAUAUUCAAACUUUUAGCAAACGCCACCUGGUGUACAUCAGGAGAAGUGCUCAGGUGUUUCCAGGUGUUCAGUUGGGUGAGAUCUGAUGACUUGAAGACCUUUCACAUCGUUUUCAUUCUCAUCGGUGAAUCCUCUUACCCUGUGGAUAAGGGCAGAGUCAUCCUGGAAGAGACCAAACCCGACGGGAUAGAAACAUUUCACCGUCGGAUAAAGAGGGCCUUGAGCUUCCUCAUUAAUCUCGGCACGACAGCCCUUGACCAUUUGACAGUACGUGUGACUUCCGCAGAACAUGGCUCCUGGACAAAAUCACCCACUGUGCCAGCCACACGAUGAUGGAGACUAUUCCCAAGUUUCCCAAAUGGCUUAGAUGUCCUGAAUUGGCGACACUUUGAAGUGGAUUCCUGUUAAAUUGACUGACGUUAUUACUAUUCCAAGGUGUCACUUACCUGACAACGGACCAAGUGUGGACGGAAACCAAUUAAAAUCUUCCCA